AUGGAUUUUAUCUCCUGUUUUGCCUCUUGUGAAUUUAAAACUGUGUAUAUACUGUGUACCUUUGAAAAGUGGACAUAUUCACCUUUCUCUGAGACAUUAAAAUACUGGUGAGUGUGGGUGGUCCUGGGCCCCAUGAGCAGGGGAGUGGGUGGUGAGUUCUUCCCUCCUGUACCCCACCCCGGGGCUCUCAGGCUUUGGGACCUGUGUCCCAGUGGGUGGUGAUGUUUCUCACACCAAAGACAUCGCCCUGGGGAAGAAUCUCAGUUCACCCUCUGGAGUAGGUCCCGUCUACUCCCUCCUUUGUAUAUCUUCUGGGAAAAAAACAAAUGUACUUUCUGAAAUGUGUCAAUUUAAGGACUCCUGUUAGUGAUCUUUGGGAUAAAUACUCACUCCUGGACUCCUCUUCUGCGUUAUUUCCCUUUUUAAGAAAAUUCACUCCUUUCCUUAUUAUGAGACAGAUGCUGUUAUCUGGAGUCUGUGAAUGGAAUUGGCUUUGGCAUGGGCUGACUCCAGUUUAAGUAUUCCCAUGAACAAAUGAUUAAUGAGUACGUCUUAACCACUGCCCCUGCACCUGGGAAUUCUGCAGAAAAUGUCUGGGUCUUGUAUUAGUUUCCUGGGGCUGGUGUAACAAAGUACUACAGACUUAGUGGCUCAAAACAUCAGAAAACUUAUUCUCACUCUUCUGGGGCCAGAAGUUCAAAAUCAAAGUGUCAGCAGGGUUUUGCUCCCUCCAGAGAGCCAUGCCUUGCCUCCUUCAGAUUCUAGUGGCUCUGGGUGGUCCUUGGUUUGUGGCUGCCUCCUCCAGCCUCCACAUCUGUCUUCACAUGGCCUUCUCCUUUCUGCCGUGUCUUCCCUUCUGUCUCUUAAAAAGAGAGGUCUUUGGAUUUAGGGCCUGUCCAGAUAAUCCAGGAUCAUUUCAUCUCGAGAUCCUUCACAUAAUGACAUCUGCAAAGGCCUUUUUUUCCAAAUAGGUCAUAUUCACAGAUUCUGGGGGUUAGGACAUGCGCAUACCUUUUCAGGGUCACCAUUCAAUCCACAACAAUAGGCCCUUCACCAAAAUGCCAGAUGGGAAGUACCUAGUGCGGUGCCUUGGAUGCAGAGAAGUGUAACAGGUGGUAUCUUCAUUUGCUUUUUCCUUUCCCUUAAGGUGGAUACAGGUAUACAAAGACCAGACUUUCUGCUGUGUACACGUAUGUGCACCUACACAUAUACAUAAAUGCUUAAACUCACCAAACUGAGAACCCCCUUCUUAGUGGCCAUUGCUCUUUGGGGUUCAGUCUAUUGCAACAAAAAUAUCUGCUUGAUGUCUAGGCUCCUGGAAGACCGAGAAGAAUAAAUCAUCUUCCCUGGCUCCCUAAAAAGUGCUGAGAACCUGAAUGUAAGUAAAAGCACUUGGUGGGUAUAGUGGAUGGGAGACCAAUUUUUCUAUUAACUUUUAGCUCUAUAUAUUUCUCAGGAGAUGUGUAGACAUGAUGUUAGAGGACAGAAAGAACGGUGAUACCACUGGGAAAAAAAUUAAGGGCAUCAGGAACAAAAUAAGAAAGCAUAAAAGGAAUUCUGGGAUUCUCCUGAAUCCCCCCCACCACCCCUAGGUCCUUUAACUCCAAGCACUAAACCUGGGCCUCUCUCAGAAGGCAGCCUGCCAAACUAAUGUGGCAGACGGGUCAUCUCCUGGGGAAUCUGGUCACCCUUCACACCCAGAGCUCUUCAGUCACUUAUGAACUGCCUUGACCCAGGACUUCCAGUCCUUUUAAGAAUAAACCUCUUUCUAGGAACUCCCACCACCCCCUCGUUGCCUGCCUGGAAAGCGUCAUCCCAGGUGCUUGGUGUCCUGUGGGACCUUGUUACUGGAGUAGAGAGGAGGCUGUACUCUGUCUCUCCUCUGUUUACAGCUGGAGACUCCCAGGCUGUGCCUGAACUCACUUAGAUUUUCAGGAAAUUCUUCUUUUCUUUGGAACUAUGGAAAUAGUUGAGCAACAUGGCCCCAUGGGAGGCGGGCACUUUUAAAGAGGAAUACUUAGAAUUAGAAUUUGCAAUUUACCACCACCUUUGCUCCUCAUUUUUGUCUCUGAGAAGAUGCACUCCCUCCCCACUUCCAUGCCCCUGACUCGUAAGCCAGCUCCUUUACUUAACAUAGUUUCCAGGCUGUUUGCUGGGGGUUUCACCAGCUCUGCCAGUGACCUUGGCAGGGAAUUCUGGGACUAGAUAAGACAACCAUCGAAGCCUCUGAGUUGUUCCAUAGCCCAGUCACCCACACUGUGCUAAGUGACCCCGUGUUGAGCCCACGUGGGCAGUUUAGCACCUUGGGCUUAGAAGCCCCAUUUUGCCACUGUGGUGCGUGUGACCUCACGCAAAUGACCUAACUGCUCUAAGCCACAGUUUUCUCAUCUGUACAAUGGAGGUAAUGAUACAUACUUCUUAAAAUUGUCAAGAGAAUUAAAAGGAAAUGCUUCUGAAUCAAGAGUAUAUAAUAUAAGGAUUGAGAGCAUUUUUACAUUAAGGAUUGAGGACUCUUGUGCUGGUUAAUUUGUAUAAAGUGCUAGAAAUAGUGGUUGGCGCAUAGGAAGCAUUCCUUGCAUGUUAGCUCUUAAUAUCAUUAUUUGUGGUUAUUGUUAUAUAAAGCAAUUAUGAUAUUCCUGACACACAGUGCUUAUAUAAUAUAAGCUUAUGUAAUAUAAUUAAUUAUAUAAGUAUAUAAUAGAUAUUAAUUUUAUUAUAUAAGGAUGUCCAAGUGACAGAGUCCAUGUCUGGAUCUGAGGUCACCUUUAUCACCUUUUGUGGGUACCAGGCCUUAGGAAAGAGAAGGAGGCACGUGAUGGGUCUAGCGAAGACCCUAAAAUAAAAUGAAGCAGGCAGAGUCCUAGGCACCUUACACAUGUGAAUGCAUUUUGUUGUCAUCACAACCCUGUGAAGUAGACAUUGAGCCUAGGCAGCAGAAGCACAGUUAGGACAAGGAUGCAGCUGGGAAGUGGGACCAGCCAGGCUAUGAACAUAGGGGUGGAAGGCUCAUUCCAGAACCUCUGCUGCUGUCUAUGUCCAGGAGUGCAGAAGGCCUUAAAGACACCAUACAACUCAAGCUAUAAAGUAAAAGAAUGACAUAUUUAAUUACAUGAAAAUUUUAAAAUUUUAUAUGGCUUAAGACAUCAUAAACAGGAUUAAAAAUGACAGAAUGAGAAAGAUUUUGUAGUAUAUUAAACAUAAAGGUUACUAUCCUUAAAUUAGGCAAGAACCCACAGAUGAAUGAAAAGGAUAAGGAAAUAAAAGUGGGGGUGUGGUGGUUGCUAACAGUAUGAGGUAACAACUCAGAAGAAAUGCAAGCUGCCUCAUAGACAAAUGGAAAGAUGCCACCUUCAUUAGUUCCUUAGGAAAUGCAGAUUAAACCCAUGAGAUAUGUUUUGCCUUUGAUCUGCAGACAUUAAAAGGAUUGAUAACAUCUGGUGCCAGCAAGGGCAUGCACUUUUGGUGAGAGUAUGAAUCUGGACAAAUUUGGAGCAAAGAUUGCAGCACUCAUUAUAAUUCAAAACUUACAUGGGCUUUGACCAAGGAUUUUUGUGCCUACAGAUUUACCCUUCCCCAGCACUCUGCCUGGGUACAGUGGUGUGUACAAAAUUAGGGACCAACAAGUCCAAUGUAAGAUGUAAUGGUGAAAAUAUGGAGAUGUGCCCAUCAGUAGGGGUCUGAUGAAAAAAAUUAGGAUCUGUGGGUAAUAUGGAAUAACUGCAUUGAGAAGGAUGAAGCGGGUCUCUUAGCAGACAUGGGAAGAUGACUGUGUUAUGUCAUCAGACCAAAAGGAGCAAGAGCAAGUGUAGAAAAAGACAAAUCUAUUAGUCUUUAAAAACUACAACAAGGCCAGGCACAGUGGCUGAUGCUUGUAAUCCUAGCACUUUGGGAGGCCAAGGUGGGAGAAUCGUUUGGCCCCAAGGAGUUUGAGACCAGCCUGGGCAACAUAGUGAGACCUCGUCUCUACAAAUAAUAAUAAGAAUAAUAAUAAAUUAGCCAGGUGUGGUGGUGCGCACCUAUAGUGCCAGCUACUUGGGAAGCUGAGGCGGGAGGAUCGCUUGAUCCCAGGAGGUCAAGGCUGCAGUAAGCUGAGAUUGGACCACUGCACUCCAGCCUGUGUGACAGAGUGAGACCCUGUCUCAAACAAAAACAAAAACAAAAAACCUACAACAGUUACAUAUACAUACAUAUAUACACAUAGACACACAUACCUGUAUACAUGCAUAUACACACAGACGUACAUGUGUAUAUCUAAAACGAUCUUGAGGAAUGCACAGCAGACCAUUAGGGUAGCCACCUCUUGUGGGAAGAGGGGUGGCAGAUCUUCACAUUUUUAUUCUAGAUUUUCAUAAUCAUGUACAAAUUUAAAAUUAAUUUUUUGUUGACAAAACCAGGCAGUAAGGAGAGACCUACAUACGGUUGCAUUUGGUAGGCUUCUCUUCACGUAGACUUCUUUCGCGUUCCCUGUGUAUCUGACACAUCCUUUCAGAGGGUCCUGACCGUGGAGUGAUGUUUCUUCACCGCCUGCUCAUCUCCUGUGACUUUCUUGCGUUCCCUUCUGAGCCUUACCACCUUCGCGGGAUGGGUGUCCCUGGCUGAUGGUGUACCUCCGCCAUGUUCCCCUCCUCCAGUACCUUGGGAAGUCCCGGUGUGUCCCUGAGCAGCGUGUCUCCCAGGGGACUGUCUGGAACUCUCAUCCCCAUAAUAGGAAGGGUUUUUCAGUCAUGGGGGAACACUGCGUUCCUGUCUGACCUCCUGGAGUUCCUCAUUUACGUGGUCGGCGAGCUGUUGAGAGGCUUCAGGAAGUCAGGAAUGAGGAGGCCUGCCUAGCUCCGUGAAUGCAGCUUUCCUAAGUUUCUCUGGCCAUGGAACCACUUUCCCAGAAUGCCUGUUGACAUCUUCUCCGUGCUCCACCAAGACGUUGGGAAGCGCGGCUCUUUCCCUGGUUCCCACUUGGACUUUCCCCUUAAAUCUUUGCAGCCCUGGGAUUACCAGCUGGUUGCAUGCUCAUCCAUAGCCCACAUAGCCUCUCAGUCUGCCUUGGCCCCUUCUCCUACCUCGCCCCUCAACCCAUUCAAACAACAGACCUGGUCACCUCUGAAAUUUGGUGUUAACUCCAGGGAUUGAUUGCUCACUGGGGAGCAGGGGCUAGAUCCAGCCCACAGUGGUGCUUGACGGGGGUCGCCCAUGUUUAAAAACACAGCUUGAGCCAAUAUUGGGCUCUUGGAAGAUACUUAGAGAUCUGGUUUCUUAUUCCAUAAUCCAUGUGCCUGUGAAAAUGGGAAAAAGAAACUUUGACAGGGACAGCCAUAUGUUUUAGGAAAAAAAAAAAGGGAGAGCCUCUUUUUCAGACUAGUCCGCCACGUUUAAAAUGUGAGAGAGCUUGUUUGCACCUUCCACACUGGCCCGUCCUACUCGUUUAUGUGAGUGGUGCGCGGACCUGCUGGCUUAGAGUUUGCCGCCCAUGCUUGAAGCUCCUCAGUGCCGGCACCUUGGUACAGGCCCUAGCUCUUUUGACCUAGAAAGUUUUUUGUUUGUUUGUUUCCAGCCAUUUCCUUUUUUUAAUUUACAGUUUGCGUGCAAUGCAAACCCAUAGCAUGAGACGUUACUAUGAAUCAAAGUGUAAAUACAUGAACGCAAUAUACAAUCUAAAAUAGAUGUGCAGCAUUCAGGAAUGAAGCAGAAGACAGGUUCAUUCACAUGCACAGUAGCUUCAGGGCUGUGUGAUCUGGUUGUUCCCAUGUAGCUUCCUAAAGAUGGAAAAAAAUGACUUUGGUCAUCAACACUACUGUGGCCAAUUAGAUACUGGAACCCUAGAAAGUUCUUCAUAAGAGCUUUCCAGCAGGUCGUGGGUUCCCAGUUUCUUCACCCCCAAGUCUCUCCUCUGUGUGCUGUAAUUGUUUUUCCAAAACACAGACCACAUUUUGUUGUACAAACUGGAUUACUCCUCAUUGCUCAAGGAUCCAGUCCAGUUCCCAGCAGGGCACUCCACAGCCCCGGCCCUGUAGGUCUUCCAGCCACCCCAGCCAGGAAGCCAGUGUUCCAGUUAAGUCAGCAGACUUGCUGGAAGCCUUUGUGCCUUUGCAGAUGCAGCUGUCUGCCAGAUGCCCUUCCUUCUCAUCUGUUGUAACCACGCCUCGUCCCCUCCCCUGAAACCUGUCAACCUUGCCUCUGCAGAAUUCCUUAUCUGGCUUCUCUGCCUUUGCAGCCCUUGGCUGUUACAGUACUUUUUACGAGUAAUUAUGAUUCCCUCCGGAGCCAUCUCUCUGUAGAUUGGGAACAGUUAAUUUCCCUUAAUCUUUUUUUCUCCCCCCAGCCCCAUACUAGAGACACUCUCCCAUGGGUAGUGCAUAAAUAUUUGUUGCAUGACAAUUUAGUCUUUAAUUUCUCACUUUUAUGACAUUAUUGCUUUGUGAUAUCUUCUACUUUCAUGAUAGGAUGGGUAAAUUGGAGGGAGAGGAACUGUAAAUACAGAUGCUUAAUUCUUCCUGCUUUCAAUUUUUUUCUCUUAAGUUAAAUGUGCUUUUUGUUGCUCCACCUCUCUGAUUGGAGCCUCACAUUGGGAGCCUGAGGCAGUGGAAUAUCAAAAGAGGGUAGCCAUUGAAUGUUUAAUUUCAAUGUCAGCCAUGAAACCUACCACUUCGAAUAAUGGGGCCUGGAAUUCAGGCUCAAAGUCUUUUCCCCAUAUUUGUUUCCCCCUUUGGCCUCUCUUUUGCUUGAAGCUGUGUACUAGACUCUCAUUAACUUUAACAAGAAUUACGGAUGUGCCCUCAAGGGGCCUCUCACACUGCCUUUAUUUCCUGUAAUUUUAAUGAAUUCCACCCUUAGAAGUGUAAGAAUAAAAGAGGAUAUACUUGAGCGAAGGGAAAGAGAGGGUUAUUACACAUUGUACCUUUUUUAAAAAAAAUUGCAGAGUAAUGUCAGCUUUUCUUCCAUUUGUCUCCUUUGGUUGCCAGUGAAAAAUAAUUUUGGCUGCUUAUUUUCCAAAGCAGAAACUGAAGUCAAACACGAAACUUUCCUAGACAAAAAUUCACUCAUAAUCAUUUUUGAGAGUCGAUAUGUACCUUAUGCAAGGUGCUGGGAGUAAAAAGAUGAAUUUAUUCCCAUAAAUACAUACACCUACUAUGUACCCAGAAAAAUUUAAAAUAAAAAUUUUUAAAAAGAUAGAUGUAUUGACAGGUACUUAUAUAGCAUUUAAUAUGUUGCAGACAUAGUUUUAAAUUGUGUCAGUUAUUUAUUUCUGCAUCAUAGAACACCUUAAAACUUAAGUGACUGAAACAACCACCAUUCACUUGCUCGUAGUUUUUUGGGUCAGUAGGUUGGGCUGAGCUCAGCUAGGGGGUUCUUCUGCUGGUCUUGGGAUGCCUCAUUCUACUGAAGUCAUCAUCUGGUUAUUCAUUUGGAACCAGAUGGUCUACAGUGGUUUCACAUAUCUGGCAGUUGGUGCUGGCUGUUGGCUGGGACACUUAUCUCCAGUACUCUAGUUCAAA